AGUGAACGCUGGCGGUAGGCCUAACACAUGCAAGUCGAACGGCAGCACAGUAAGAGCUUGGUCUUACGGGGGGGGGGUGGCGGACGGGGGGGGAAUAGAUCGGAAUCUACUUUUUCGUGGGGGAUAACGGAGGGAAAGUUACGCUAAUACGGGAUACGACGGACGGGUGAAAGGAGGGGAUCUUGGGAGCUUGUGCGAUUGUAGGAGCCGAUGUCGGAGUAGAUAGUUGUCGGGGUGGAGGCCAACCAAGGCGACGACGCGUGGCUGGUCUGGGAGGAGGAUCGGCCACAAUGGAACUGAGACACGGUCCCGACUCCUACGGCAGGCAGCAGUGGGGAAUAUUGGACAAUGGGCGCAAGACUGCUCCAGCCAUACCGCGUGGGUGGAGAAGGCCUUCGGCUUGUAAAGCCCUUUUGUUGGGAAAGAAAAGCAGCAGGUUAAUACCCCGCUGUUCUGACGGUACCUAAAGAAUAAGCACCGGCUAACUUCGUG
rnacentral:rRNA from 1 species